AAAACAUUUCAUAAUACUAUUCUACGAUUCCCGCUCAUCAAAUCUGUAUUUUUUACAAAGCUUCCUCUUCCUCUUUUGCAAUGGACACACGCUCGUCAUAUUGGUAUUUUUUACGGUGUUCCUUCUUUCACAGAGGUUACAUUUCCUUAUAUAGACAUUUGUCACCGAGCUCCCUCUUUUUCUUUUUGUUAUAAUCUUUAUUAGAAUUUU